rnacentral:rRNA from 1 species
CGUAGCCGCGGGAAUACGGAGGAUCCAAGCGUUAUCCGGAAUCAUUGGGUUUAAAGGGUCCGUAGGCGGUCUUGUAAGUCAGUGGUGAAAGCCCAUCGCUCAACGGUGGAACGGCCAUUGAUACUGCAGGACUUGAAUUAUUGGGAAGUAACUAGAAUAUGUAGUGUAGCGGUGAAAUGCUUAGAGAUUACAUGGAAUACCAAUUGCGAAGGCAGGUUACUACCAAUUGAUUGACGCUGAUGGACGAAAGCGUGGGUAGCGAACAGGAUUAGAUACCCCCGUAGUCCCUGUCUCUUAUACA